UACGUAGGGGGCGAGCGUUGUCCGGAUUUAUUGGGCGUAAAGAGCGUGUAGGCGGCCAGGUAGGUCUGCUGUGAAAACUCGAGGCUCAACCUCGAGACGUCGGCGGAAACCAUCUGGCUAGAGUCCGGAAGAGGAGAGUGGAAUUCUUGGUGUAGCGGUGAAAUGCGUAGAUAUCAAGAGGAACACCUGAGGUGAAGACGGGUUGCUGGGCCGACACUGACGCUGAGUGCGCGAAAGCCAGGGGAGCAAACGGG
rnacentral:rRNA from 1 species